rnacentral:tRNA from 1 species
GGUUGGCUCAGUGGUAGAGCACUUACUUGGCAUGUAAAAAGCCCUGGGUUCAACCCUCAGCACCA